ACGAAGGGGGCAAGCGUUGUUCGGAAUUACUGGGCGUAAAGGGCGCGUAGGCGGCCGAUCAAGUCAGGCGUGAAAUUCCCGGGCUCAACCUGGGGGCUGCGCUUGAUACUGAUUGGCUUGAAUGCGGGAGAGGAUAGUGGAAUUCCCAGAGUAGAGGUGAAAUUCGUAGAUAUUGGGAAGAACACCGGUGGCGAAGGCGGCUCACUGGUCCGGUACUGACGCUGAGGUGCGAAAGCGUGGGGAGCAAACAGGA
rnacentral:rRNA from 1 species